rnacentral:rRNA from 1 species
UACGUAGGGCGCAAGCGUUGUCCGGAAUUAUUGGGCGUAAAGAGCUCGUAGGCGGUUUGUCGCGUCUGCUGUGAAAACUCGGGGCUUAACUCCGGGCCUGCAGUGGGUACGGGCAGACUAGAGUGCGGUAGGGGAGACUGGAAUUCCUGGUGUAGCGGUGAAAUGCGCAGAUAUCGAGAGGAACACCAGUGGCGAAGGCGAGUCUCUGGACACUUCCUGACGCUGAGGCACGAAAGCCAGGGGAGCAAACGGG